rnacentral:rRNA from 1 species
AAUAGAUACCCAGGUAGUCCAUGCCGUAAACGUUGGGCACUAGGUGUGGGGGACAUUCCACGUUUUCCGCGCCGUAGCUAACGCAUUAAGUGCCCCGCCUGGGGAGUACGGCCGCAAGGCUAAAACUCAAAGGAAUUGACGGGGGCCCGCACAAGCGGCGGAGCAUGCGGAUUAAUUCGAUGCAACGCGAAGAACCUUACCAAGGCUUGACAUGGACCGGAUCGCUGCAGAAAUGUGGUUUCUCCUUUUGGGGCCGGUUCACAGGUGGUGCAUGGUUGUCGUCAGCUCGUGUCGUGAGAUGUUGGGUUAAGUCCCGCAACGAGCGCAACCCUCGUUCCAUGUUGCCAGCACGUGAUGGUGGGGACUCAUAGGAGACUGCCGGGGUCAACUCGGAGGAAGGUGGGGACGACGUCAAAUCAUCAUGCCCCUUAUGUCUUGGGCUUCACGCAUGCUACAAUGGCCGGUACAAAGGGUUGCGAUACUGUGAGGUGGAGCUAAUCCCAAAAAGCCGGUCUCAGUUCGGAUUGGGGUCUGCAACUCCG